AUCUACGCACAUUCAGAACACUGAAAACCUCUGAAAACAAUAAAAAUAAUCACAUUUACUGUUGAAGUAGGCGCAUGUUUACGAACACCCUUGAAUAAGCUAAAAAAUCAAAACAAUAUAUAACAACUUUUACCAAAAUCGUCGUUUUAUUUACCGAAAAACUGUAAAUCGUUCAGAUUCACCGUAGACUGUAAGUUUUUACCGUACUUCAGUUCAUAUUGAUUCAAUACUUUACCGAACGAAUGGUAACUAGAAAUUUCUGAGUCAGCCAUAUUUGUUUAGAAGUGCUAAUCAACACGACGGUAUCGCAUACGAUACCGUCUAAAACUCUGUUUAUAAACACUGUUUUUGGAAAAAAAAAAAAAAAAAAAAACUACUACGGCAGGAUGAGCGCCCGGUACUACUUUUCCUAUACAACAGCAAAAUUAUGUUUCCGGAUGGCAUCGUCGCAUAUCAAGUAUAAACACCCAUAACGGAAUCAGUGGCGGUUUUGUUCAUAAGUGGUAAACAGCUGCAAAGAUGUCAGUUUUUGAU